GACGAACGCUGGCGGCGUGCUUAACACGUGCAAGUCGAACGGAAAGGCCCUGCUUUUGUGGGGUGCUCGAGUGGCGAACGGGUGAGUAACACGUGAGUAACCUGCCCUUGACUUUGGGAUAACUUCAGGAAACUGGGGCUAAUACCGGAUAGGAGCUCCUGCUGCAUGGGGGGGGUUGGAAAGUUUCGGCGGUUGGGGAUGGACUCGCGGCUUAUCAGCUUGUUGGUGGGGUAGUGGCUUACCAAGGCUUUGACGGGUAGCCGGCCUGAGAGGGUGACCGGCCACAAUGGGACUGAGGUACGGCCCAGACUCCUACGGGAGGCAGCAGUGGGGAAUAUUGCCCAAUGGGCGGAAGCCUGAUGCAGCAACGCCGCGUGCGGGAUGACGGCCUUCGGGUUGUAAACCGCUUUCGCCUGUGACGAAGCGUGAGUGACGGUAAUGGGUAAAGAAGCACCGGCUAACUACGUG
rnacentral:rRNA from 1 species